rnacentral:rRNA from 1 species
GGCUACUGCUAUUGGGAUUCGAGUAAGCCAUGCGAGUCAAGGUGUAUUCGGACGCCGGCGUACGGCUCAGUAACACGUAGGUAACCUACCCUCAGGACUGAGAUAACCCCGGGAAACUGGGGCUAAUAUUAGAUAGAUAAAAGGUACUGGAAUGUUCUUUUAUCCAAAGCUUUUGCGCCUGAGGAUGGGCCUGCGUCCGAUUAGGUUGUUGGUGGGGUAAUGGCCCACCAAGCCUGCGAUCGGUACGGGCAGUGAGAGCUGAAGCCCGGAGUUGGGGACUGAGACAAGGCCCCAGGCCCUACGGGGCGCAGCAGGCGCGAAACCUCUGCAAUGCGGGAAACCGUGACAGGGGGAUCCCAAGUGCUCAUGCAUUGCAUGGGCUGUUCUUUGGUCUAAGUAACCAGAGGAGUAAGGGCUGGGCAAGACCGGUGC